UUAAUAAAAAGAAUUAAACUACAUGUUAGGAGGAUAAAAAUAAGUAAAAAAUAAAAGUUAAAGGUGUUAAUAGAAUAUUGUUAAAUUACAGAAAAUCUCUUAUAAAUACUUGUUUUUUGCUUUUUUUUCUCCCUGGUUUCAAAAACCUACAUUUUAUCAUCUCAACUUAAGUUGUUGCAUUUAGUCCUCCUCCAUCAGAGUUCUAUUAUUAUUAUGACAAUUUUAAUUUAUACCAAACAUACUCUUCAAAAUAUUUUUUUAUAAAAAAGUAAGAAUAAUUUAGUCAUUUUAUUCUUUUCAUUAAUGUCGUACCACUGAAAAUAAUUUUAAAAUUUUAAGACGACAAAAUAUAGCUUUUUUAAAGUCAUAAAAAAAAUUAAAAAAAUAGAUAUUUAUAGAGAGUUUUCUAUAAAUUAGCCAUAGAAUAUUUAUAU
rnacentral:lncRNA from 1 species